rnacentral:lncRNA from 1 species
CAAAUGUUUGCCUGUUUUCAUUUUUAGCCAUUUAGUUCUCGUGGCUCUGUUCCAGGACUCUUUAAUUUGCCAGUAGCUGUUUUUCCUAUACAGAUUACAGGAGUAAUUCAUCAGUGAAUGUUUCACUCAGUGGUCUCAUCUAAUAUUAAUGAAAACAAGGAGCAAUGUACUUCCUUUAUAUUUCCUUGUAAGAAAAUAAUGAGGCCAAGGUCAAAUAUUAAACAAAAUAAGCAUUAAACAAUUCUGAAAUGCUUCCAAGAUGUGUUAACUGCUACCAAGACUCGGAGUAAUCAAUAUGGAACCCUGCUUACUCCUACAGAGCCAGUUUCCCAUCCAUGAGAGACAAGUUUCUUUGGAGCUGUGACCAACCCAAAUCCUUGGUACCUUCUGAGAAGCAUGCAUUUCGCCAUCAAUAAGAGAAUGGCUAAGAUGAAUCAUGUGUCAACCUUCAAAUCAGCUACUUCACACUCCAGUCAUCUUUGUUUGUGACCAAACUAAGCCUUCUUGUUCACCCACUCCUCAGCCCCCCAAACCACUUGGUGCUUUUUCUCACUAAGCCAUGCCCCACUGUUCCCCUCCCUCCCAAAUCUUUCAACUGUGUUGAAACCCCAAUCUGAUUAACCCUGCAUCUUCAAACUCUUCCUGAACAAUCCAUCUUUCACCUUAGUUAGAACUCAGAGGUUCUGACAUGAAGUCUGUGAACUAUGUUUCAAGGGGUCAGUGACAUGCUUAAAAAGAUUAAUUUUUCAGUUUUCUUCCUGUUAUUUUGAAAUAUGUCUUUGUAAAAAAAAUGUUGCUAUAUUAUAAGGACAUUAUCUUACUACAAAAGGUCUGGGUUGCUUAGUGUAAAUGAUCAAGUAAUAUGCAAUGAUCAUUAAAACCAUAUUACAAUGUCCAGAAUUAUUUCUUAUUGACAAAAAUAAACGUCUCUGCCUUAAGAUUAAAGAGAUCUAU